UGGCUGAGGCGUUUGCUUGUGGUCGCCUCGGCGGCUUUCUGACGGGCCGAGUGGAAGCGGACGGAAGGAAAAGGUGGUGGCUGCGUGCUAACGCGCGCGUCCGCUCGCCUCACCGGGCCGGGCGGCGAACGGCGGUGGUUGUGUGGGGCCAGGCGCCCUGUCGAAGGAGGUCGGCAAAAACGGCGGAGGAGCCGGGGCCGUGUGGAGGCGUUACCUGCUUCGGGCGCUAGGUGGCGCCCGGGGCCCGCUGCAGUGGACGGCGGCUGCUAAUUGCAAAGCCGGUUAGGCGGCCGUUGUCUUCUGGGUGGCUGAGUGAAGGCCCCGAUCUUAACCUAGGCACGUCUGCUUGGGAGGAAAUCCCGUGUGAUGAAUAAACGGGUUUAGCAGAUCUACCUGGAUGCUAUGCUCGACAUCUGAGGCCUGCCCUCUGACUGUGCUACCUCUGGGGGAGGUUCAGUUGGUGGCACCCUUCUCAGCGUGGCUCCCAUAUUUUGAAAUGAUCUCCCCUCUAAGGGCCGCGGGGUACCAAGUUUUAACCUUUCGGUGCCAGGUUAAGACUUACUGUUGGGGCGUACAAUGGCAUUUAAUGGCUUUUGUUUGGAUAUGGGGGGGGCUUAUGUCAGCUGUUUUUAACAAGGCCUGUGUUUAUUGUUUAGGUUUGGUUUGUAAAUUCAAAGAUUGUUAAAGAUUUGGUUGCAGCUAAUUACUGCAUGUGCAUUUUAUACUAUAUUUAAUGUGUUUUGUGAAUUGGUGUAAACUGCAGCAAAAGCUUCAGCUGUUGGGCAGCAUAGAAAUAAAAUAAUAGCAAUAAUAAUAUUGCACAGCCCUGUGUGAUUCCUACCCUGACUCAGGAGUAAAGGUGCAAUGCUAAGUGUAGGCCUUUUUUCCUGUCUAAACACAACGCCCAACAUGCCCCAGAAGUAUGAUUGACUGGGGCAUAAUGGGAAUUGUAGGAUUUUUUUUUUCUGUGUAAACACCACAUAGCAUUGUGGUUUCUUUAAGUCUGUGAGGCUUGUUUCUUGAAUAAACCUACUUAGGGUUAAGAUGACUGGCUCCAAUCUUGAGUGUAGUUAUUUAGGAAAUAAACCCCAUUGAGCAUAACAACACUUAAUUCAGUGUAAACAUGGGAAAUUCUGAAAUGCAGAUCUGCAAUCCAAGGCACGCUAAAUAAGGAUAAUGUUCUAUUUAAAGUGCAGUAGCUGUGUUCUUCAUUGCAGCAGAGAGAAAGGGCAUAUGUUUUAGAGGUCUGGAUGUGAACUCUGUUCUAUGACUUGCUGUUUUCAGUCUGUUCACCUUUAUAGUGCUUCAAGGCUAAAGUAUUUAUUUUGGUCCUGUCUUAAAAUUAGGAUAUUACAGCAUUGGGAAAGAUGCAGAAAAGGGCAACCAAAAUGACCCAGGGGCUGGAACAACAUCUGGGCCUGGGAUUAUUUUGCUUAGAAAAAAAAGUUGGUACAGGGUGACAUGGCAGAAUUGUACAUGAUGUGCAGAAAUUGGAUAAGGAAUUUCCUAAUAAUGCUCAGAUGCAGGUGUAUCCCAUGAAGCUGAUCUGUGGGGAAUUAAGGACAAAUAAAAGAAGGCAUUUAGUAUCACAAUUUAGUACCACAAGAGGCAGCAAUGGCUACCAAAUUUAUGGAAGAUGAGGCUGUCAAUGAUGGCUAUAACCUACUAGUCAUGGUGGCUAUAACGAUGCCUGUAUAUAGCAGUUGCGGGGGGUGGGGUGGAGAAUGUUGUGCUCAUAUCCUACUCUUGAGUUUCCUCCAUUCAGCUAGUUGCCUCCAGGGUAAACAUGGGACUAGAAAAACCCUGUGGUUGCAUUGGUGUGAGUAGUCCUGUGACAGGAGUGAGUCACAAAACCACCAGCUAGUUAUCUUGCUAGAUAGUUCUUCAAAGAUAUAUGCAUGUUAUCUCCUUCAAACAUGAUUAGAUUGACUGCAUACAAAUCAAAUUAUACACACAGAACAAACUGGUUUUGAAGGUAGUUACAGCCAAGAACAAUGGACAUUCUAAAAUACCUAAGAAGGAAAUAUACUAAGAGUAUGAAAAAGUAUCUUUUUGCAUCAUUUAUUGAUCUUUCUGCUGCAUUUGUUUCUUUUGGCAGAAGUAGAUAGUGGGAAAAGUUAUGAAGCACUAAUAUUGACCAGAGACAGCUAAUGCUGAUAAAGAAAUUAUAUUCUAAGACAGAAAGAUUAUAAUUCUCAUUCCCUUGUAAUCACAAAUAGAAAGAUUUUUAUCUUGAUGUACGUAGAUGAUAUAGUACUAAUCUCUCCCACAUGGGUUAGAAAAGUCUUCUAAAUGCAUUUAGUAUUUAUUGCAAACAUGAAGGUUUGCCAAUAACAUUCUGAGACAAUGGUUUUUGGCAGUCAUAGACAUAAGUACAGAUCUCUUCUGGACCAACACGUUAUUGAACUCAUUCAUUUAGACACUUGGGCAUCCAUUAAAAUAAGUCUCAUGGAAAGAGCAGAGGGAGGCAGUGAAAUUGAAAGCACAGAAAACUAUAGGGACAUUAAAGAAGUUGUAUUAUAAUAAAAGUGGGCAGCUGUUAGAACCUACUCUUAAAGUUUAUAAUAGCAAAAUGAUCAUGCAAAUAGUUUAUGGGGCUGAAGUUUGCACAGUGGGCACUACCACCAUAAAUGUUUUGGAAACUAACAUUUAAAAAAAAAACACAGCUAUUCUCUUUUACCCUUGACCUCUGCAGCUUUUUUGCACACCAAGUCAGGAUGACCAUUGAUCAGAAUAAGAACAGAUUGCCCUCAUUAGGAUAUUUUAAAUUAAUUGUCUUCCAAAUGAAAAAUUACCACUUAUGUACUAUUUGGAAAUAAAUAAAAAUAUGAUUGGAAGUUAACGUUCAUUAAUCUGGUGCAUUACUACUACUUUUCAGAGUUGAAUUUCACCUUUGCUAUGGAUAAGGGACAAUCAAGGGAUACGUUCUUUUGGAUAGAUUCUAGGAGGGACCUGCAAUCUUUAAGAACUCUAGAUUUUCUCAAAUUUCUUUUAAAAACAGGACAUUUCAGAGCCAGCUAUCUGUUCAUAUUGAGAAGAUCCGUAGGAAAUGCUUUUACUGGACUACAGUUUCAAAUUAUACCAACUGUACUUCUGGAUGGACAAUAUAAUAAGGUGGCUUUUGAAUGCUUUUGUGGUUUGUAUCAAAUGGAAGACACUAUUCAUUAUAUGUUACUCUGCUCUUUAUAUAGGGACCCUAGAAAGGUUCUUAAAAACCGUGUUAGCUUACUGAUCUAAGAAUGCCCUGACAGAAAUGGUUUAUUUUCUUCUGAGCUGUGCCAAUGAGUGUGACAUAUAAAGUAGCCUUGCUUGUCUUGGCAGCAGAACAGAUAAGAGAGAAUCAGAUCAAAUUGCUCUAAACUGGUCCAGAGAUUCAAAGAGUUAAGUUAGAGAUGAAUUUUGUCUACAAUAAAUUUUAAUGUAUUUGUAUUAUUUUGUAACAUCUGAAAUCUGAAACUUUCAUAUUUGUCAUGUCCUAUGGCUAGUACAGUUAAUUUCUAGAAUGAAUAUUACUGGCAUAGCUGUGUAAUUCUAGAAUCAAAAAGCUCACUUCCCAGAAGCAUAGAUGUUUAGAAAUUAACAAUUCAAACAUUUUUGUGAACUUUAUUUAUUUUUAUAAAAUUUUCAGAAGCUUAA